AUUGAACGCUGGCGGCAGGCCUAACACAUGCAAGUCGAACGAGUGGCGGACGGGUGAGUAAUGUCUGGGAAACUGCAUGAUGGAGGGGGAUAACUACUGGAAACGGUAGCUAAUACCGCAUACCAUCAGAUGUGCCCAGAUGGGAUUAGCUAGUUGGUGGGGUAACGGCUAACCAAGGCGACGAUCCCUAGCUGGUCUGAGAGGUUGACCGGCCACACGGGAACUGGUAAACGGGCCAGAAUGCGACGUGAGGCAGCAGUGGGGAGUAUUGCACAAUGGGCGCAAGCCUGAUGCAGACAAGCCGCGUGUAUGAAGAAGGCCUUCGGGUUGUAAAGUCCUUUCAGCGGGGAGGCGUUACCCGCGGAAGAAGCACCGGCUAACUCCGUGCCAGCGGCCGCGGGAAUAC
rnacentral:rRNA from 1 species